UGGCUCAGGAUGAACGCUAGCUACAGGCUUAACACAUGCAAGUCGAGGGGAAACGAUAUUGGAAGCUUGCUUCCGAUAGGCGUCGACCGGCGCACGGGUGAGUAACGCGUAUCCAACCUGCCCAUCACUUGGGGAUAACCUUGCGAAAGUAAGACUAAUACCCAAUGAUAUCUCUAGAAGACAUCUGAAAGAGAUUAAAGAUUUAUCGGUGAUGGAUGGGGAUGCGUCUGAUUAGCUUGUUGGCGGGGUAACGGCCCACCAAGGCGACGAUCAGUAGGGUUCUGAGAGGAAGGUCCCCCACAUUGGAACUGAGACACGGUCCAAACUCCUACGGGAGGCAGCAGUGAGGAAUAUUGGUCAAUGGGCGAGAGCCUGAACCAGCCAAGUAGCGUGCAGGAUGACGGCCUAUGGGUUGUAAACUGCUUUUAUAAGGGAAUAAAGUGAGUCUCGUGAGACUUUUUGCAUGUACCUUAUGAAUAAGGACCGGCUAAUUCCGUG
rnacentral:rRNA from 1 species